AGUGAACGCUGGCGGUAGGCCUAACACAUGCAAGUCGAACGGCAGCACAGUAAGAGCUUGCUCUUACGGGUGGCGAGUGGCGGACGGGUGAGGAAUACAUCGGAAUCUACUUUUUCGUGGGGGAUAACGUAGGGAAACUUACGCUAAUACCGUAUACGACCUACGGGUGAAAGCAGGGGAUCUUCGGACCUUGCGCGAUUGAAUGAGCCGAUGUCGGAUUAGCUAGUUGGCGGGGUAAAGGCCCACCAAGGCGACGAUCCGUAGCUGGUCUGAGAGGAUGAUCAGCCACACUGGAACUGAGACACGGUCCAGACUCCUACGGGAGGCAGCAGUGGGGAAUAUUGGACAAUGGGCGCAAGCCUGAUCCAGCCAUACCGCGUGGGUGAAGAAGGCCUUCGGGUUGUAAAGCCCUUUUGUUGGGAAAGAAAAGCAGCAGGUUAAUACCUCGCUGUUCUGACGGUACCCAAAGAAUAAGCACCGGCUAACUUCGUG
rnacentral:rRNA from 1 species